GGGGAUGAUCGGCCUAGACAAUAAGAUACAUUUGCAAAAUGCGAGAGAGAGCAAUAGUGACUCUUAAAUCCGCUAUAAAUGAUAACUGCAAACAAAGUUGUCGCAAAAGCAAAAGCCAUUGUUUCUCCAUAUCAUGGAGUCAAUGAUUUUGCUUUCGCUUACGUUAGAGCUUAAUUUUAAGUUCGCCUAAGCGACGUCAAAUUCUCUGAUGUCUCAUAAGAGAAAUUUGGUGUAAUAAACUUGAGACUCUGGAAAAUAGUUGCUUCGCUAUUUUUCUAAAUGUUGAAGCUCGAUGUUUUAAGAUCUUGUUUGUUCCAUACUUAAAACAUUUAAAAAAACUGUAACAAACUAACUCUUGUAGAAAUUUUUCAAAUCUCUUAUUGCACGCGAGUUCGAUUCUCGCCAUCUCCACAA
rnacentral:tmRNA from 2 species